UAAAAAGCGAUGAUGGAAAAGAGUACGUUCUGGUUGUUUGGCAGCGAACCCGGGAUUGGUGUGAGCCGGGGCAAAAACUGGAGCGGAAAAUCCUUCCGGAGCUGCGAGCUGAACGCGAGGUAAGCCCUCGUCAUUAGGGGAGCCGGUGCUGCCGACCGUUAUUUCCGGCGCAGGUAUAACCGCUUGGUAGGGGAGUACCUGACAAAGAGCCUGCCGACUGGCAGGAAACAGGGUGGUACCGCGAGAACCCCUCUCGUCCCUGGU
rnacentral:ncRNA from 1 species